rnacentral:tRNA from 1 species
UGGCCCCUGGCGGCCGGGGCACUGCCGCGAUUCCGGCCUGCGGUGGGCCGACGUCAUGCUGGCCGGCGGGGAGUUCGAACGCCUGGGGCCGU